rnacentral:rRNA from 1 species
UGAAGCCUACGGGGGGCAGCAGUGAGGAAUAUUGGUCAAUGGGCGAGAGCCUGAACCAGCCAAGUCGCGUGCAGGAAGACGGCUCUAUGAGUUGUAAACUGCUUUUGUACAAGGGUAAACCUGAAUACGUGUAUUCAGCUGAAAGUACUGUACGAAUAAGGAUCGGCUAACUCCGUGCCAGCAGCCGCGGUAAUACGGAGGAUCCAAGCGUUAUCCGGAUUUAUUGGGUUUAAAGGGUGCGUAGGCGGAUUGAUAAGUUAGAGGUGAAAUGUCCGAGCUCAACUCGGGAACUGCCUCUAAUACUG